AACGAACGCUGGCGGCAGGCCUAAUACAUGCAAGUCGAACGCGUGUAGCAAUACACGAGUGGCGCACGGGUGAGGAACACGUGGGAACCUACCCUCUGGUACGGAAUAACCCCGGGAAACUGGAGCUAAUACCGUAUGUCUCCUAAGGGAGAAAGAUUUAUCGCCGGAGGAGGGGCCCGCGUCCGAUUAGCUAGUUGGUGAGGUAACGGCUCACCAAGGCAACGAUCGGUAGCUGGUCUGAGAGGACGAUCAGCCACACUGGGACUGAGACACGGCCCAGACUCCUACGGGAGGCAGCAGUAGGGAAUAUUGGACAAUGGGCGAAAGCCUGAUCCAGCCAUGCCGCGUGAGUGAUGAAGGCCUUCGGGUUGUAAAGCUCUUUUGGCGGGGACGAUGAUGACGGUACCCGCAGAAUAAGCCCCGGCUAACUUCGUGCCAGCAGCCGCAGUAA
rnacentral:rRNA from 1 species